rnacentral:lncRNA from 1 species
AUAAUUCCUGCCCCUCCUCUGGAUUGGCGCCGCGGCACUGGGAAGGUGCUCGCUGAGCUCUGACGUUAAUGAGACUCGUUAAUGAGACAGCUGAUUAUUCACUGACAAGCUGCACUGCCGGCUGGGGGAGGGAUACGCAGGGGAAUUGUUUGGAUGGGGAGAGGCAGCGCUCCCAAGCUGAGAAACAGCGCUGGGAAGGUUUUCUCUCAAUGGCAAAGCGACAAGCAGGGAUGCUGGGAUGAUUCCAAGGCUUUGUCUGGCAGGGGAAGGUGCUGCUUCUUGCCUUCCCGUGUUCCAGGUGAGACCAGGGGGCUGUGGAUGCUGGGAUUGGACACAGAAAAGCUGAGGACUGGCAGAGCAUCUGGUGAAGGGACAAGGAAGAAGAGAGUGAAGUAAAACUGGACAGAUCUUGCUGUGGGUGUUGCCUACCUGACCUGGAAUGCUCCUCCACAUCCUGCAUGGCCUUGUGCAUGGAGCUGAGCUGCAGCCUCUCCUCUCCCGGAGCCUCCAGCUGCUGCCUCAAACUGCUGAUGUACAACUCAAACAUGGACUCCAGAUUAUUCUACACAAUUUUCUGGCCUUUUAAGAGGCUCCAUUUGGUCUCCAGAACUUUGUUCUGUUGCUCCAGGAACCGCACCUGAAAGCCAUCAGAACAAUAUAAAUCAGGAUUCUUAACUCAAAACUUGCCUCGCUUUUCAUUAAAUGGAAGUUUAAUAUGGUGGGGGUUGUAAAUGUUUUCUGUAAUUUGAAGCAUGAUUAGAUGGGCUUGUUACCAAAAGAUCAUUGGUGAGAAGAUCUGGGAGCCGGGAGAAAUACUCAGCUACAUUGAAACCUGGAGAAAUAAUUUCCUCCGUGCUCAGAUUGUCAAAAAUAUGUAUAUGGACAGUCUGCAUAUGGAACAAAGUCCUGCACAAAAUCCUUAACUCUGCUUUAAGGAUUUAGAAUUAAAUUUCUAAUGUUGAGAACUUCCUGACUCCAUCUCCAGGUAAUGCCAGAGCUGGAGGAGGACAACGUGCCUCACCUUGUUGAUGAAGGAGGCAAAUUAGCUGUUGAAGGAUUUAAUUUGGUCCUUGUCCUCCUGCUGCACAUUGGGGUCAAUCUUGGUUCAGGGGCACCAAGAGGCACUGGUUGACCACUGUAGCCACAUUUCUCUUCACAGAGAAAAGCAAGGCACAAUUCUUCCCAAGAAUACUUCGGGUUUCACAUUCUCUGAACUGCAGAGAAAGGAAAAAUAAUUCUUAUCAUUUGCUGUGCCUGUAUUUGUGCAAAAGUAGAAUGCAGUAUGGAAGUUGUUUACCCAAAGUGAUGGUGUUUUGUUUCCUUGGCCGCUCAGGGCCAAGUGUGUGUGUGUG